UUAUACCGAUUCAUAGACAGGGCAGCCAUUGGACAUUGUUGGUUUUGGAUGUACAAACCAAACAAAUGCGUUUCUAUGACCCCAUGAACCGGACAUUUGAUGAAGAGGUGGUCAACAUCACAAGGUUGACCCGAGCAGUUGCCGUUCUUUCAUUGCUGAAGAAAUUUUGAAUGCAGGGAAGGAUAUGAAACCGAAG